rnacentral:ncRNA from 1 species
AAUCCUCUGCCGCCGGGUAGAGGGGAUUGCACCAGACUUCAUAUCGUUAGGCCGUUGAAGAUAUGAAGUUCUGGUGUAUUUUUAUU